rnacentral:rRNA from 1 species
AUGCUACCACUACCCGUCCACCUGUCCUUCAUGCGCGGCCACUACUGGGCGGGCAUGAAGGCGAACUGGAUCGUCCUCAUCCACCAAUCUGCUGCGCGUGAGGUGACACAAGAAUCCCGGCGGCGUGUUCAGAAGAAGGAUUGGCCAGUGCUGCCGGCUGGCAUCAAGUUCGAUCCCACAGAUCAGGAGCUGAUCGAGCACCUUGAGGCCAAAGUUAGUGCUGACAGCGCGAGAUCUCACCCUCUCAUCGAUUUGUUCAUACCAACCAUCGACAGUGAGCACGGCAUAUGCUACACCCAUCCUGAGAAACUUCCAGGUAUCACACUGAGUGGCCUAAGCAAGCAUUUCUUCCAGCACAAUUCCAGGGCAUUCAAAAGGGGCAUGUGGAUGUGUCGCAAGAUACAGUCAGAGUGCGGCAUGCACGCGAUGUGGCACAACACCGGCAAUACCUUGCCAGUGAUGGUCAACGGCCGGCAGACGGGCAGCAAAAAGGUUCUGGUGCUGCACACCAACAAGAACUUCGACCAGCAGAGGACUAACUAG